GACGAACGCUGGCGGCGUGCUUAACACAUGCAAGUCGAACGGAAAGGCCCUGCUUUUGUGGGGUGCUCGAGUGGCGAACGGGUGAGUAACACGUGAGUAACCUGCCCUUGACUUUGGGAUAACUUCAGGAAACUGGGGCUAAUACCGGAUAGGAGCUCCUGCUGCAUGGUGGGGGUUGGAAAGUUUCGGCGGUUGGGGAUGGACUCGCGGGUUAUCAGCUUGUUGGUGGGGGAGUGGCUUACCAAGGCUUUGACGGGUAGCCGGCCUGAGAGGGUGAACGGGCACAAUGGGACUGAGAUACGGCCCAGACUCCUACGGGAGGCAGCAGUGGGGAAUAUUGCACAAUGGGGGGAAGCCUGAUGCAGCAACGCCGCGUGCGGGAUGACGGCCUUCGGGUUGUAAACCGCUUUCGCCUGUGACGAAGCGUGAGUGACGGUAAUGGGUAAAGAAGCACCGGCUAACUACGUG
rnacentral:rRNA from 1 species